rnacentral:rRNA from 1 species
GGGGAGGCAUAACUGCAAGUCGAGCGAGCUUGCCUAGAUGAUUUUAGUGCUUGCACUAAAUGAAACUAGAUACAAGCGAGCGGCGGACGGGUGAGUAACACGUGGGUAACCUGCCCAAGAGACUGGGAUAACACCUGGAAACAGAUGCUAAUACCGGAUAACAACACUAGACGCAUGUCUAGAGUUUGAAAGAUGGUUCUGCUAUCACUCUUGGAUGGACCUGCGGUGCAUUAGCUAGUUGGUAAGGUAACGGCUUACCAAGGCAAUGAUGCAUAGCCGAGUUGAGAGACUGAUCGGCCACAUUGGGACUGAGACACAGCCCAAACUCCUACGGGAGGCAGCAGUAGGGAAUCUUCCACAAUGGACGAAAGUCUGAUGGAGCAACGCCGCGUGAGUGAAGAAGGGUUUCGGCUCGUAAAGCUCUGUUGGUAGUGAAGAAAGAUAGAGGUAGUAACUGGCCUUUAUUUGACGGUAAUUACUUAGAAAGUCAUGGCUAACUACGUGCCAGCAGCCGCGGUAAUACGUAGGUGGCAAGCGUUGUCCGGAUUUAUUGGGCGUAAAGCGAGUGCAGGCGGUUCAAUAAGUCUGAUGUGAAAGCCUUCGGCUCAACCGGAGAAUUGCAUCAGAAACUGUUGAACUUGAGUGCAGAAGAGGAGAGUGGAACUCCAUGUGUAGCGGUGAAAUGCGUAGAUAUAUGGAAGAACACCAGUGGCGAAGGCGGCUCUCUGGUCUGCAACUGACGCUGAGGCU